GCUAACUCCUGGGCACGAGGCGGGGUGAGAGGGAGGGGGGAAGCUGGUGCCGGAUUGAUUGGGUUGAAAGGGUCCGUAGGCGGACUUAGAAGUCAGUGGUGAAAGCCUGUCGCUGAACGAUAGAACUGCCAUUGAUACUGUAAGUCGUGAGUGUCGGAGGGGCAAUCGGAAUUCCUAGUGUAGCGGUGAAAUGCGUAGAUAUUAGGAGGAACACCAGUGGCGAAGGCGGAUUGCUGGACGAUAACUGACGGUGAGGCGCGAAAGUGUGGGGAGCAAACAGGAUUAGAUACCCGAGUAGUC
rnacentral:rRNA from 1 species